AAAAUCAUCGUUUAAGAUUUUUAUCUUAAGGUCUGAGUAAUUUAUUUGAUAAUUUGUGUAUGAGUGUGUAUUACAAAACUAAAUUAUUCUGAGCCCUGGAUUAACUUAAUUGAAUUCAAUAAAUAGUGCCUAUAUCCGGGGACAGAAACAAGAGAAAGUAAUUGCAAAAGUAUCCCAUAAAUUUAUAAAGUGUUCAGAUACACAGAUACUCUCUUUAAGAUAUAGCAAAUUAUCUUCAGUAUUAAAGACCUUAGUAUUUUUCCAAGGCGUGAAAGGAUAACUCGGUAAUAACUGAAGUCUCAACAAAGAUUAUCAUGUAAUCACUUUAAUGCAAAUAUUUUGAUGUUAAAAGGCAGAGAAUGAUAGUAUAGGUCCUCUUAAUAUUGAGAGCUGUAUUUUAGCAAUCUUCUUCCUCCUCCUCUUGCACCCUCCUCCUCUUGCACCCUCCUCCCCGUCCCCCUUCCCCUCUUCUUCUUCCUCCUCUUCCUUUUCUUCUCCUCUCCUUUCCUCCUCUUCCUUCUUCUUCCUCCUUUUCUUUUUUCUUUUUUCUAUUCCUCUUCCUCUUCUGCUUUCUUCUGUCUUUUUCUCUUGAGACAGGUUCUAACUCUGUCAUGGAGGCUAGAGUGCAGUGGCAUGAUCUCAGCUCACUGCAACUUUUGCCUUUCAGGUUCAAAUAAUUCUCCUGCCUCAGCCUCCCGAGUAGCUAGGACUACAGGCAUGUGCCACCACACCUAGCUAACUUUUGUAUUUUUAGUAGAAACAGGGUUUCACCAUGUUGGCCAGCCUGUUCUUGAACUUCUAACCUCAAGUAAUCUGCCCACCUCAGCCUUCCAGAGUGCUAAGCUUACAGGCCUGAGCCACUGUGCCCAGCCUCAAUUUCCUUCUAAGAUAAAGUUUACAUCAGGGUUCUCUGUGAGGAAAACAAAAGUUGGACAGAGCCAGGGUUUUAAUAAAAUACAGUUUUAUGCGUUGUGAUAAAUGAAAUAAUGCCCCACAAAAGUGCCGUUGUUUAAACCCCUUAGUUCUAGGAAUAUAUUUUGGUAUAUAAUAAAGAGAAAAGAGGCUGCAGAUAAAAUCAAGAGUGAUAAUCAGUUGACUCUAAAAUAAGGAGAUUAAUUGAAUUAUGAAUUUGGUGUCUACCACUAUACUACCCAGAAUGCACCUGAUCUUACCUGAAUUGAGUGUGAACCUAAGGUAAUCACAAAGUUCUUAAAUGUGAAAGAGAGGCUGAGAAAAUUAAUGCUGUGAUGUGAGAGUCAGAUUAUUUUUCAGUAUUUAAAUUGUGUAUACACACAAAUAUUCUUAGAAUAUAUGCACUACAUAUAUGGUGUAUAAAAUAAUGUUGAGGCUGUUUUAAUUUAUGUAAUAGAAUUAUUGAAUAAAAGAACUUUAUAAAGACUUUUUAAAAAUGUAUGUAAUCGAAUUAUUCAAGAAUUUUAUAAGAUAAAAACAUUGUUAGUGAUGAUUUUGAACAUACAAUAAAUAACGAUGUAAAGUUUUUUAUUUUGAGAUAUGUGAAAUAUGUUUUUCUUUCACAUUUUAGACUAUUACAUUCUACUUAUGUUUUCAUGGAAAAAUGCCUUUUUUCAAGCUGGCAUUGGAAUCUUAACCAUCAGCUUCCUCACUUUCUUCCACGUCAUUACACUUUUCCUGUAAUGCAGGCCUAAGCCCACUGACCUGGCCAUUUAUCAUGUGGCCCUCAUCCACAGUGAUGCUUCUCGCUAAGGUGUCAUUGUUGGCUCCAGGUCUGUUUGAGUCACUGUAUUUUCUGAAUGAUUUCAAGUGUGAAGUGUUUUUCUAUCGAACAAGGUGAUAUGAAGUUUCUCCAUCUGCACUACCUGCCUCCUGAGUGUGCUUCAAUCCAUAAUCAUCAGCCCCAGCAGCUCUUUGGUACCAGAAAUAAUCCAGUACUUUCAUAGCACCAGCCUCUCCCCACGACUGUCCCCAGAGAAAAGUGCCACUCAGACCAUCCUGCUGCCAGUGAGUUACUUUGCAUCAUCUAUUGGGUUGAUUUCAUCAUCUCAUUCACCGCAACCCUGAUAGGUGCAUAUGACCCUGUUGUUUUGGGUGUCCAGAGGCUUGUGCGCAAUAUAUAUGCCACUUUCAGUCCUUUGGUGCUACUCAGAUCUGAUAAAGGGAUAAUCAAUGUGAUGCUGACUGAGACAGGUUAACAAGUUAUUUUAUUAAAAACAGAUAAUUCUGUCACCAAAUUAUUUCAGUAGUACAGAGCUUGCUAUCUAAUUUAAAUUAAAUGUAUGAAUUUACACUUUCAA